CAUGCUUACCAACGUCGUGAUGUUCUUCAAACACAUUGGCAAGUCCUUCCAGAAGGUCAGCAAACUGAAGCAGAGCGGCAAGCUCUUAUAGGAAAUGAAAAGGAUACAGGCUGAAUUGUCAAAGAAAGUGGCUGCCCACCGGCAGGAAGUACUGCGGAGAAUCAGCUUGACGCAGCUCAGGAGAUCAAAUUUGUGAUGGCUGCUAGGGAAACUAUUUCCAAAACUGUUUGAGCGCCUCACCAAGAAUCCAGGCUCACUGUUUGACCACAAUAAGCUCGUGGGCAGCACGAUGGGGUUCCUCUGCAUCCUCUCUGGACACAGAUCAGUUGUCAUGACAAAUAUGACAAAAGAAAACGUCAUGAACCCAGACAUUUGGCAUAAUGGCGAGAGGUUUCAGGUUCUGGGCAACAUGUACCUCACGAGUGAGCAGAGGGAGCAGGUGGCAAAAUCUAUGUGGAGGAACCCAUCUUGGACAAUGAGCCAGUUUGCAAGACGUCAAGGAUCUUUGCCAGAAGCGCUGUGACUAUCGAGUUGACCCCCUUUCAUCUGACGAAGAGCACCUCUCAGCACAACCUUCGGCCACAAAGAGGAAGUUGAAUUUCACCGUGAAGUCACCUUCAAAUUGCGUUGUCAAGCUCAAACGCUUGAAACAGAGCAUUGCUGAUUUCUAUAUGUACAAAAUUAAAGCAUCAGUACCCCAAGCUGAGCAAACUCCCCAAUGCAUGACAGCAACCCCGGCCGAUCCG